rnacentral:rRNA from 1 species
UUAAGUUAAUAAGGGCGCACGGUGGAUGCCUUGGCACUAGGAGCCGACGAAGGACGUGACAAACGACGAUAUGCCUUGGGUAGCUGUAAGUAAGCGAUGAUCCAGGGAUUUCCGAAUGGGGGAACCCAACAGGUAAUACCUGUUACCUACAUCUGUUAAGGAUGUGAGGAGGAAGACGCAGUGAACUGAAACAUCUAAGUAGCUGCAGGAAGAGAAAGCAAAAGCGAUUGCCUUAGUAGCGGCGAGCGAAACGGCAGAAGGGCAAACCGAAGAGUUUACUCUUCGGGGUUGUAGGACUGCAAUGUGGACUCAAAGAUUAUAGAAGAAUGAUUUGGGAAGAUCAGCCAAAGAGAGUAAUAGCCUCGUAUUUAAAAUAGUCUUUGUACUUAGCAGUAUCCUGAGUACGGCGGGACACGUGAAAUCCCGUCGGAAUCUGGGAGGACCAUCUCCCAACCCUAAAUACUCCCUAGUGACCGAUAGUGAACCAGUACCGUGAGGGAAAGGUGAAAAGCACCCCGGGAGGGGAGUGAAAUAGAACCUGAAACCGUGUGCCUACAACAAGUUCGAGCCCGUUAAUGGGUGAGAGCGUGCCUUUUGUAGAAUGAACCGGCGAGUUACGUUAUGAUGCGAGGUUAAGUUGAAGAGACGGAGCCGUAGGGAAACCGAGUCUGAAUAGGGCGCCUUAGUAUCAUGACGUAGACCCGAAACCAUGUGACCUACCCAUGAGCAGGUUGAAGGUGCGGUAAGACGCACUGGAGGACCGAACCAGGGCACGUUGAAAAGUGCUUGGAUGACUUGUGGGUAGCGGAGAAAUUCCAAACGAACUUGGAGAUAGCUGGUUCUCUCCGAAAUAGCUUUAGGGCUAGCGUCGACAUUAGAGAUUCUUGGAGGUAGAGCACUGUUUGGGUGAGGGGUCCAUCCCGGAUUACCAAUCUCAGAUAAACUCCGAAUGCCAAUGAAUUAUGGUCGGCAGUCAGACUGCGAGUGCUAAGAUCCGUAGUCGAAAGGGAAACAGCCCAGACCACCAGCUAAGGUCCCAAAAUAAUUGUUAAGUGGAAAAGGAUGUGGGGUUGCACAGACAACUAGGAUGUUAGCUUAGAAGCAGCUAUUCAUUCAAAGAGUGCGUAAUAGCUCACUAGUCGAGUGACCCUGCGCCGAAAAUGUACCGGGGCUAAAACAAUUUACCGAAGCUGUGGAUACCUUUAUAGGUAUGGUAGGAGAGCGUUCUAUGUGUGAUGAAGGUAUACCGUGAGGAGUGCUGGAAUGCAUAGAAGUGAGAAUGCCGGUAUGAGUAGCGAAAGACAGGUGAGAAUCCUGUCCACCGUAAGACUAAGGUUUCCAGGGGAAGGCUCGUCCGCCCUGGGUUAGUCGGGACCUAAGGAGAGACCGAAAGGUGUAUCCGAUGGACAACAGGUUGAUAUUCCUGUACUAGAGUAUGUAGUGAUGGAGGGACGCAGUAGGCUAACUAAAGCAGACGAUUGGAAGAGUCUGUCUAAGCAGUGAGGUGUGAAUUGAGUCAAAUGCUUAAUUCUAUAACAUUGAGCUGUGAUGGGGAGCGAAGUUUAGUAGCGAAGUUAGUGACGUCACACUGCCAAGAAAAGCUUCUAGCGUUUAAACAUACUCUACCCGUACCGCAAACCGACACAGGUAGUCGAGGCGAGUAGCCUCAGGUGAGCGAGAGAACUCUCGUUAAGGAACUCGGCAAAAUGACCCCGUAACUUCGGGAGAAGGGGUGCUGACUUUAAGUCAGCCGCAGUGAAUAGGCCCAAGCAACUGUUUAUCAAAAACACAGCUCUCUGCUAAAUCGUAAGAUGAUGUAUAGGGGGUGACGCCUGCCCGGUGCUGGAAGGUUAAGAGGAGUGCUUAGCGUAAGCGAAGGUAUGAAUUGAAGCCCCAGUAAACGGCGGCCGUAACUAUAACGGUCCUAAGGGAGCGAAAUUCCUUGUCGGGUAAGUUCCGACCCGCACGAAAGGCGUAAUGAUUUGGGCACUGUCUCAACGAGAGACUCGGUGAAAUUUUAGUACCUGUGAAGAUGCAGGUUACCCGCGACAGGACGGAAAGACCCCAUGGAGCUUUACUGCAGUUUGAUAUUGAGUGUCUGUACCACAUGUACAGGAUAGGUAGGAGUCUAAGAGAUCGGGACGCCAGUUUCGAAGGAGACGCUGUUGGGAUACUACCCUUGUGUUAUGGCCACUCUAACCCAGAUAGGUGAUCCCUAUCGGAGACAGUGUCUGACGGGCAGUUUGACUGGGGCGGUCGCCUCCUAAAAGGUAACGGAGGCGCCCAAAGGUUCCCUCAGAAUGGUUGGAAAUCAUUCGCAGAGUGUAAAGGUAUAAGGGAGCUUGACUGCGAGAGCUACAACUCGAGCAGGGACGAAAGUCGGGCUUAGUGAUCCGGUGGUUCCGUAUGGAAGGGCCAUCGCUCAACGGAUAAAAGCUACCCUGGGGAUAACAGGCUUAUCUCCCCCAAGAGUUCACAUCGACGGGGAGGUUUGGCACCUCGAUGUCGGCUCGUCGCAUCCUGGGGCUGUAGUCGGUCCCAAGGGUUGGGCUGUUCGCCCAUUAAAGCGGCACGCGAGCUGGGUUCAGAACGUCGUGAGACAGUUCGGUCCCUAUCCGUCGCGGGCGUAGGAAAUUUGAGAGGAUCUGCUCCUAGUACGAGAGGACCAGAGUGGACUUACCGCUGGUGUACCAGUUGUCUUGCCAAAGGCAUCGCUGGGUAGCUAUGUAGGGAAGGGAUAAACGCUGAAAGCAUCUAAGUGUGAAACCCACCUCAAGAUGAGAUUUCCCAUGAUUAUAUAUCAGUAAGAGCCCUGAGAGAUGAUCAGGUAGAUAGGUUAGAAGUGGAAGUGUGGCGACACAUGUAGCGGACUAAUACUAAUAGCUCGAGGACUUAUCCAA